UGUCAUCGUUCUCGGGUCUAGGUGAGUCCUCCUCCUCAACUAACAAUCUUUGGGGUUCUGUGUUCCACAGGUGAGGAGCGGAGAGGUACCAGCUGUUCUGAGUUACUCAUUUGGAGCUCGGGUUUAAAAGGAGGAUGGAGACACUACUCGAAGCCGGAUGAUUACUCCAGUAUAGGAUUACCACCCCAACCUUCACCAAAUUCUGCUAAGAACCACGGAUC